rnacentral:rRNA from 1 species
AUUGAACGCUGGCGGCAUGCUUUACACAUGCAAGUCGAACGGCCGCGCGGGCUUCGUCCUGGCGGCGAGUGGCGAACGGGUGAGUAAUUCAUCGGAACGUGCCCAGUAGUUGGGGCUAGGACGGCGACAGCCGGCUUAAUACCGCAUCCGACCUGAGGGUGAACGCGGGGGACCGAAAGUCCUCGCGCUUUUUGAGCGGCCGAUGUCGGAUUAGCUAGUUGGUUGGGUAAAGGCUUACCAAGGCGACGAUCCGUAGCUGGUCUGAGAGGACGACCAGCCACACUGGGACUGAGACACGGCCCAGACUCCUACGGGAGGCAGCAGUGGGGAAUUUUGGACAAUGGGGGCAACCCUGAUCCAGCCAUGCCGCGUGAGGGAAGAAGGCCUUCGGGUCGUAAAACGCUUUUGUUAGGGAAGAAAACAUCUGGGCGAAUACCCCGGCGGGAUGACGGUACCGGAAGAGUAAGCACCGGCUAACUACGUG